UGUAGCUGCUAGCUGUCUGCUAGCUUCACCUGAGCUGGACCUCUGGACCGUGUUUGCGCUGUUGGAGCCUUUUUAAUGACAUCAUAUGUCUGCUGUGAGGUUACUGUAGUAACAGAAGGCGGAGCUGCAGAUAUGAUGAAAUUCUGCAGCAGUCUAACUUCUGCUCUUCAGUUCUAUUUAAUUUAAUUUUUACUUCUCUUAUUGAAUUUAUUUUGGUGCCUUAUUAACUCCUGUACUCUGCUAUUGAUCUUAAAUAAUUUCAUUUCAUUUUUCUUAAAUAAUUUCAGAAAACUGAUUUCAUUUCAUUAAAUAAAGAGGAGAAGACACUGAAGGUGGAGGCAGGGAAACAUUGAGGAAGCUAAAAACCUGAAUCAGAUUGUUUUAUGGAUCAUGGAACAAACUGCUGAAAUCUGGACUUUCCUGCAGCUCUAAGGAGGCGAUUCCUCGGAGAACCCUGGAACUUCUUCUGUUCUGCUGUGUGUGUUUCCAGAUGCCACGACCGGCUUCUUUUCCUUCUCCUCCACAUCUAUAAAAGGUAUUUUGAUCUCUGUGCAUCAGAUGGGGGAGUGGAGUGGCCUGCUGAGCUGAAUUCCCAGCGGAAGGCUUGAGUGGGCUUCUUCAGACCAGCUCUUCCACCGGGGAUUUCCCCAUCAGCGCUCCAUUUCCUGUCAGUGAGUAACUCGACUCCCGGCCGAGGCUCCCGAAGGCUGAGAUGACUCACAGUGAGCCGAGCGCCGGCGGUUUAUUCGACAGAGAUGCAGUAAUAAUUAAUAAGCUCGUGGACGUUUGUAUUCUGCAGGGACGUUUUCAGGACAGGACGCCGACCGAGCCAGCCAGCCAGGGCAUGGCCCCUCUUCUCCGGGGAAGAUGACCGUCUCCUCCCGCAGUGCGAUCCUGGAGGAUGAAUCGGUCCAGCUCUCGGGCACCAGACUCCGCCGUAAAUCUCGCUGAAAUGUGAUCAGCCUCGUCAGCUCACACCGGCACGGAAACACUGACAAUCAAAGUUUAGUUUUUAUGAAUCACUGAUGCUUUCUGUGUAAUUCGGCGCUAAAUUUGAAUUAUAGCUUGGAAACGUAACGUCAGGACACAGAGGUUUUUACACGCGUUGAGAAGUUUUACCACUCAUGCGCAAAAUCAGUAAAGUGUGAGUUAUGUUUCUGUCCCUGAUCAGCUGAUCCUGCUUGAUCAUUGGUCCUUCAGGUAAAUCACGUCACACUGUGAUCAUCCAAACUAAACACGCGGCAUGAAAACAUUUAAAUAAAAAUAAAACUUGAAUCAAAGGAAAAAUUACGUUUGUUAAGACUUUGUCUUAAACACUUCCCCUGAAAAAUUUCACCAAUAUUAGAAUUUUAAAAAACUAUAAGAUGGAAGAUUACGUCUGUCAUCACUCUGUUUCCUUGUGUGCCUGUUUGUAUUUAUCUGUGAUGUUUAGUGUCUUUCAGUAUUUUUACUUUCACUAACUGAAACCAGGACUUUUACUUUAUAAAGAGUGUCUGAAAGUGUACACACACAAACACACACACACAAACACACAAACACACACUGGUACUUUUACUCCAAAGGACAUCGUGUCUGUUUGAGACUACAUACUGUGUCAGUAUUAAACUGGACCCGUUCUCCUUUCCCCGUCGUAUCCCUCCUGUUUCUGUGGUGGAUUUUCAGAUUGAAUAUGUCCAGUGUUUCUAAUUGUGAGCUCAGUGUGUGAGCGAGCCAAAGCUCAGGCUCACACUGCUGUAAACACUCAGUUUAUUACAGUUUUUGUACUCUCAGAUCUGUCUGAUGUCACAAAGGUCAUGGUUAAAGCGAGCACAGCCAGAGCUCUUUCCCCAAUAAAGCCAACAUCUGUCGAUCUGUCUAAUAUUUGACGACAAUCAGAUUCAUUUCCAGGUUUUUCUCCUUCUGUUCAGAUCAGGAAAGAGAAACGAGGGUUACCCUCGUCGACACCUGAGGGGUAAAGAGUUAAAGGUUCUCGCUGUCCUUUAACUAUAACAUUCACCACCAGGGGGCAGCAUUUUACCAGUGAGAGCGAUUCAUGAAAUAGUUUCCUGGGCACGAGUUUACCACCCUUACUUUUGAGUUCCUGAACAGCCUGUCACCAGGUCGGUCUCACACGGACAGUUAUGAGUCCACGAUGUGACUAUUUCUUCUUUUAAAGGCUGAAAACGUUCAAACCAGAGACCACAGCUGGCCUGGCCGUUCCAACUCAGGACCUUUUCACUAUGAGACAAUAAUGCUAACAUCUGCUCCACACCAGCAGCAGUCUGUCCACACUCGGUUGAUGGUGUCCGUAAAAUUUGAAACAAACAAAGAAAAAGAGAAGUUUACAGAAACUGAGGGUGUGCAGUGACCUUCACCGUGACCCCUGACCCUACAGAGGUCAUACAGCUGCUUUAACACAACAUCAGACUUUCAGCAACACACGAUCAAUGAGCACGCUGACUUUCAGGGUAAUAAACAGAAAUCUUUGGUAGUUUGAAAGGCAGGAAA